AGCGAACGCUGGCGGCAGGCUUAACACAUGCAAGUCGAACGGGCGUAGCAAUACGUCAGUGGCAGACGGGUGAGUAACGCGUGGGAACGUACCUUUUGGUUCGGAACAACCCAGGGAAACUUGGGCUAAUACCGGAUAAGCCCUUACGGGGAAAGAUUUAUCGCCGAAAGAUCGGCCCGCGUCUGAUUAGCUAGUUGGUGAGGUAACGGCUCACCAAGGCGACGAUCAGUAGCUGGUCUGAGAGGAUGACCAGCAUCACUGGGACUGAGACACGGCCCAGACUCCUACGGGAGGCAGCAGGUGGGGAAUAUUGGACAAGUGGGCGCAAGCCUGAUCCAGCCAUGCCGCGUGGAUGAUGAAGGCCC
rnacentral:rRNA from 1 species